rnacentral:rRNA from 1 species
UGGGGAAUAUUGCACAAUGGGCGAAAGCCUGAUGCAGCGACGCCGCGUGAGGGAUGACGGCCUUCGGGUUGUAAACCUCUUUCAGUAGGGACGAAGCGCAAGUGACGGUACCUGCAGAAGAAGCACCGGCUAACUACGUGCCAGCAGCCGCGGUAAUACGUAGGGUGCGAGCGUUGUCCGGAAUUACUGGGCGUAAAGAGCUCGUAGGCGGUUUGUCACGUCGUCUGUGAAAUCCUAGGGCUUAACCCUGGGCGUGCAGGCGAUACGGGCUGACUUGAGUACUACAGGGGAGACUGGAAUUUCUGGUGUAGCGGUGGAAUGCACAGAUAUCAGGAAGAACACCGAUGGCGAAGGCAGGUCUCUGGGUAGUAACUGACGCUGAGGAGCGAAAGCAUGGGUAGCGAACAGG